rnacentral:rRNA from 1 species
CCUACGGGUGGCAGCAGUGAGGAAUAUUGGUCAAUGGACGGAAGUCUGAACCAGCCAUGCCGCGUGCAGGAAGACGGCUCUAUGAGUUGUAAACUGCUUUUGUACAAGGGUAAACCUGAAUACGUGUAUUCAGCUGAAAGUACUGUACGAAUAAGGAUCGGCUAACUCCGUGCCAGCAGCCGCGGUAAUACGGAGGAUCCAAGCGUUAUCCGGAUUUAUUGGGUUUAAAGGGUGCGUAGGCGGAUUGAUAAGUUAGAGGUGAAAUGUUCGAGCUUAACCGGGAAAUUGCCUCUAAUACUUGUUGUCGUGAGAGGAGCUGAGGUAGGCGGAAUGUAUGGUGUAGCGGUGAAAUGCUUAGAGAUCAUACAGAACACCGAUUGCGAAGGCAGCUUACCAAUCUAUAUCUGACGUUGAGGCACGAAAGCGUGGGGAGCAAACAGGAUUAGAUACCCGUGUAGUC